rnacentral:rRNA from 1 species
GACGAACGCUGGCGGCGUGCUUAACACAUGCAAGUCGAGCGGAAAGGCCCUUCGGGGUACUCGAGCGGCGAACGGGUGAGUAACACGUGAGUAAUCUGCCCCUAGCUCUGGGAUAGCUCCGGGAAACCGGGAUUAAUACCGGAUACGACCCCUUCGGAUAUCUGAAGGGGUGGAAAGAUUUAUCGGCUAGGGAUGAGCUCGCGGCCUAUCAGCUUGUUGGUGGGGUAACGGCCCACCAAGGCGACGACGGGUAGCCGGCCUGAGAGGGCGACCGGCCACACUGGGACUGAGACACGGCCCAGACUCCUACGGGAGGCAGCAGUGGGGAAUAUUGCGCAAUGGGCGAAAGCCUGACGCAGCGACGCCGCGUGGGGGAUGAAGGCCUUCGAGUUGUAAACCCCUUUCAGCAGGGACGAAGCGAAAGUGACGGUACCUGCAGAAGAAGCGCCGGCUAACUACGUACCAGCAGCCGCGGUAACACGUAGGGCGCAAGCGUUGUCCGGAAUUAUUGGGCGUAAAGAGCUCGUAGGCGGUCUGUUGCGUCCGCUGUGAAAACUCGGGGCUUAACCCCGAGCCUGCAGUGGAUACGGGCAGACUAGAGGUAGGUAGGGGAGAAUGGAAUUCCCGGUGUAGCGGUGAAAUGCGCAGAUAUCGGGAGGAACACCGGUGGCGAAGGCGGUUCUCUGGGCCUUACCUGACGCUGAGGAGCGAAAGCGUGGGGAGCAAACAGGAUUAGAUACCCCGGUAGUCCACGCCGUAAACGUUGGGCGCUAGGUGCGG